AGUGAACGCUGGCGGUAGGCCUAACACAUGCAAGUCGAACGGCAGCACAGUAAGAGCUUGCUCUUACGGGUGGCGAGUGGCGGACGGGUGAGGAAUACAUCGGAAUCUACUUUUUCGUGGGGGAUAACGUAGGGAAACUUACGCUAAUACCGCAUACGACCUACGGGUGAAAGCAGGGGAUCUUCGGACCUUGCGCGAUUGAAUGAGCCGAUGUCGGAUUAGCUAGUUGGCGGGGUAAAGGCCCACCAAGGCGACGAUCCGUAGCUGGUCGGAGAGGAUGAUCAGCCACACUGGAACUGAGACACGGUCCAGACUCCUACGGGAGGCAGCAGUGGGGAAUAGUGGACAAUGGGCGCAAGCCUUAUCCAGCCAUACCGCGUGGGUGAAGAAGGCCUUCGGGUUGUAAAGCCCUUUUGUUGGGAAAGAAAAGCAGCAGGUUAAUACCCCGCUGUUCUGACGGUACCCAAAGAAUAAGCACCGGCUAACUUCGUG
rnacentral:rRNA from 1 species